UGGAUGAGGACGUGAGGAAAUAGGCAACUUUAUACAUUGAUGAUAGGAUAUGGUAAAUUCUGUGGAGGACAACUUGAAGGAAACUGAACUUCAGUGGGGAAACAUGCCUUGCCCAAGUAAAAAGCAAAUGGCAGGAAAUUCAGGGCAGAAGAAAUAAGGCCCAGAUAAAACAUUUCACUCCUGGUUGCUCAGAAGAGGACUAACAAAACCAGACUGAGAGCUGAGGAAACCAGACUGACAGUGGAGACACCCGAUGCCCCAGAACCAGCUCUGUCUUCUGCACCAUUUCUGUCUUUUCCUUGGGCCUCAGCUUCCUCAGCUGUAAAGCAAGUCUGGGUGUUUCUGUCAUCCUUCUCGGACCUAAAAUGCUGUGGACAUUUGAGAGCUCAGAGAAAACCUUUCUAAUUGCGAGGUGGUGAGAUAUCAAUGGUGAGAGAAAACUGGCUCCCAUAUUUUGUAGCUGCCCUACUUGGCUCUGGAAACUGAGCAGUUCUUAGCUGAGUGGCAUGUAGAAAACAGAAAGGGUGGGAGAUGGGGUAAAAGCCUGGUGUGUCAUCAGAGAAGGAGGAGGGCACAUCAGGGGGCUGCAGCGGUGAGUACAGCCUAUGGGGCUGCAUUUUUUUCUGGAAAGCUCAGUGCCCUGCCAAGCCAGGGUUGCAACAAGGUAGCCUUUUAAAAAGCAGGCAGCCUGGCUUAUUUCACUCAGCAUAAUGCUCUCCAGUUCCAUCCACGCUGUUGUUGUGAAAAGGUAGGAGCUCCUUCUUUUUUCUGU